rnacentral:rRNA from 1 species
AGCUCCAAUAGCGUAUAUUAAAGUUGCUGCAGUUAAAAAGCUCGUAGUUGGAUCUCGGGGUACCUGGUCUAGCCGGUAUAGCUCACGCUAAAACUGGUCUGACCCCCCAACGUGAGGUAUUCGUCUCCGGGUGCACUUCAUUGGGUGCUCGUGAGGGGCCUCGUAGUUGACUGUGAAAAAAUUAGAGUGUUCAAAGCAGGCUCAUAUGUUCGGAUAGUGUGCAUGGAAUAAGUGAAUACAAGACUGGCGCUUUUUUGUUGGUCUCGGCGACUGAUCAAAUGAUUAAGAGGGACAGCCGGGGGCAUUGGUAUUGAGGGGUUAGAGGUGAAAUUCUUGGAUCCUCUCCAGACCAACAAAUGCGAAAGCAUUUGCCAAGAAUGUCUUCA